CAACAGAUUACACAGUGGGUAAGCUUUCUCAGUAAGCAACCCGAUUACAAGCAUAUGCAGAUUUUAUAGUUUGAAUACAGCCUCAACAAUCUUUUCUUUACCUAUUAUCAAACAUAUUUGUUAAUAUUCAAUGCAGGGAUUGCUUAUGCUAAAUAGACAGGCACUGUCGACCCAGCGAGAAGCUAAGUUUCCUCUCAUAAAUAAUACAGAAUAAUCAUGCAGAAGCACCUAUCUUGCCGGCUAUGUCUAAUUCAUACAUCCUUUUUUCUUUUCCUUGUUAGAACAAAAGAAAAUAAGCGUCAUUAUUGGAAGCUUUUCUUUCCGAGGACAAUUACUUAACGUCAGUUCUAACAGUAUUAGUAUGCCAGACCCUGUCCUGAGCAAACCUUCUAACAUGCUAAUCUUCUUUGUUAGUAAUAGACAGCAUGGCAAAAAUACGCCAAGCAAAACAAAGAUGAUUGCACGUAAAGUGUAAAUCAACAAAGGCGAGAACCAAUUAGAAGCUGCCGCUGGUCUUUGAGAUGGUAAAAACUGACAUCUCUUAGUGUGAAACAUCUUUGAUCACAGCGAAUAAUGGAGAGGAAGUGAGGUAAGGAUUUUCCACACGCUGUCAGCCUAAUUAAUCACGUAAUUACACACUACGGAGGCAGGGAGGUGGAGAUUAAUUACAAUACCUCGAAAUUUACUUGAAAAGUCUCCUUACAACUUACAAAAGACUGAAUUGAUUGGUAUAGGAAUUAAACAACGACAGAUUACACACUUGUGGGUAAGUGACCCUGUUGGAUAUAGUAACUGACACUUUUCUGGUCACUCAUUUCUGUUUACGUUUACAGGAGGAGCGUUUAGCGGACUCUUUUGUCUUUUGUUAUUAUUGUCCUUGGGCUUUUUCCUUUACUGUGAAAAAAUAUAAUCUUCAGAAAUGUAAAAAAUAUGAAAAGGCCCGCCCCACUUCCUUGUAUGGGCUGCAAACCAUUUAAACUUUCCCCUUUAACACGAUAUGAAACACAAAUAUAUAGUCAAGAGUACGGAAAAUUGAGAGGACGAGAAAGCACGGCAGAAGAAAACAACACAUACAAAAAAUAUAGAGGGAGAGAAAAGAUACGCAUAUGAAGAUAGAAUAAUAAAAUACAUAAAUAAAUAAAUAAGUAAAGUAAAACCAAAUAAAAUAACCUAUAACCUCACACACAUUAAUGACCCAACGAGAAAAGGAAUGUUAAACUUGCGAUGCUCAUUCCUUGUAGAUACCUUCGUGUGGUUGACGCCAAGAUGAAGCGGAAAACAACAUGUAAACGUAUGCGUAUAAAAACUUGUUCUCUGUAAACUGGUGACUAUUCCUCUUCCUUUUCUCUUUCUUGUCUUUCCGUGUCUUGUCCACCCAAAGCUUCCUCUUCCUCCGACAACCAGCGCCUAAUCUUUCUUCUUUUUUCUUCUCUUCACUCUCCCUUUCAGAACUACCUGCCCGUGAUCUACGCCCACACACCUGCCGGGACCAACUUCCGCAUCCUAACUCACCUUUUGCAGAUUGUUCGGUCACAAAAGUUCCAAGCUUUCGAUUAUGGGCAGGAGAGGAAUGUGAAAGAGUACGGUACCCCCAGCCCCCCGCGGUACUCCUUGGGCAGCGUGAGGGUCCCCGUGGGCGUGUUUUGGGCCGAGAAUGACUGGGUGGUGGAUCCCAAGGACGUGGCACUCACCGCCUCUGAACUCCCCUGGGUGGCUUACAACUACAAGGUUCCCCUCAAGGAUUUCAACCACUUGGACUUCAUGUGGGCCGAAAACGCCGCCGAGCUGGUGUACAAACCGGUGCUGGAAUAUCUAAGGAAGUGUGAGCAGCGAGAAUUCCACCACAACCACCAGAACAACUAUUACUGAGAAGAGGGAUGAGAGGAAAACAGAAGUGUGUGUUCGAUGUGAUUUGGAGACGGUAACGCAAUACUGUGAUAUCUGUAAAAAUGAGUAGUGAAAGUAGCCGUCUUGGGUGUGAAUGCAGGUCCGAUUACCGUGCCAUUGGAAAUUUGUCAGCUAAAAAACAACAAUGAAAAACACAGCUUGACCAGAUUUUUCAGUGGAAGGGAAAAGGAAUGACCCACGCAAAAACACUGUUGGAACAUUAGUAAUAUAAUCUGCUCUGGUCUGCGGAACACCGGAAUAACAUGACCUUCCGAUCACUCCUUAGUCAAAUAUACCAGUGAAUAUACCAGUGAAUGUCCAAGAAACAUCGGAGCUGAGAAAUCUGAAGGAGCAUUGCCGCCUUGAUCAGGGCUUUGUAAGAGGUGAGCAAACAGACAGACCUGACUAUUAGAGUCUUAAACCUCGAUACAGCGAAAUUAAACUAUGCAUCAGUGUAAUGAACAAAACCCUGAAGUUGAACAAGGAACAGUGACGGGCUACCUUGUGGAGAGAUAUGAGUUUUAACAGUGAGGAAAUGCAAUACAAACAUGCACCAGUGGAAGGAAGUGAAAAGCCUCUAGUUGAAUGAGGAAGUAAGUUAGCGGAAGGCCCAGACAGCGUCCCACCGUGCAAAUAGACUCAGCAGGAUCGCAGACGACCUGAGUGGUGGGUCCGCCGCGGAGUGUGUUCGGGACAGACUGACGCAGCGCAAAGAGUGAAGGAAAGAAAAAAUGAAAGAGAGAAAGAAAGGAAGAAAAGAUGAGGCUGACCGAUAAUACUCAUGUGAUAAUUUCAAUUGGAAAGUGAAGUAGAGACUAAAUGAGUAGAUUACGGUGAAUUAACGGUGAUAAAACGAACGCUCAACAGUUUGGUGUGGCGGCGUCUGCACGUGACUGACAUGUUUACUCUGGGCAUUUGUCUGUGAUUAAUAUUCUCUUUCGGUUACGAAGGGAAACAGUUAUUGAAUUGAUAAAGCUCUUUCAUGUCUGUUUGUCUCUGUCCACCGGUCUGUCUGUCCCUCUCUUUUUUUUUUGCUGCAUUCCUUCUCUUUUGUUGAUGUAUUUUGCAAAUAUAGUUUUUUUCCUCA